rnacentral:lncRNA from 1 species
GGCAUUUUUACUAUCCCAAGCUGUGGCUUGGCCUUAGAAAGGGACCAAGAGAGUAAACAGCAAGUACAUUUUUUGGAUGUUGAUAUGAAGGUGAAGGGAGGUUCAAUAUGUACAACAGUUUGUGGGAGGCCUACAGGGGCUGCAAUAUUAAUUCCAGAAUGGUCUAGUGAUGCAUGGUCCAGCAAAGGAUCAGCUGUGGGAGCCCUCCUUCAAGGAGCAUUCGCUCAUUGCCGGGACCGGCGGGCCUUUGAUGGGGAGAUUGGUGCCAUCACCAGAAUGGCAAUGGCACAUGGGUGUGGGCCUGCCUUAAUCGAAAGGCUACUAAAGGAGGUCAGGGGAAGAAGGGAGGAAGGAGAAAUCCAUAGUACUGAGCGG